rnacentral:lncRNA from 1 species
CACCAAGCCUCCCAGGUCUUCUGUUCAAAGCCCUCCCCCUCCACCCCACCUCCAGCCCCCUCUGCUCUGCCCCAUCAACUAUGUUUUCUCCCUCAGCACUUGCCUUAGAUCCCUGGACUCACGAGCACAGAGGCGACUUCCUCCUCGCAGACUUUAGGCGCCACUGCAGGGUCCGGAAAAGAAAGAGAAACGGCCCAGCGCGGUCGCUCACAAAAUUCAGGGCGGGGCUGCCCUCGGCGCCCGAAAGCUUUUUGUUUUUUGUUUUUUUUUGAAACGGAGUUUCGCUCUUGUUGCCCAGGCUGGAGUGCAGUGGCGCGAUCUCGGCUCACAGCAACCUCCGCCUCCCGGGUUCAAGUGAGUCUCCUGCCUCAGCCUCCCGACUAGCUGGGAUUACAGGCAUGCGCCACCCCCGGCUAAUUUUGUAUUUUUAGUAGAGGCGGGGUUUCUCUAUGUUGGUCAGGCUGGUCUGGAAAUCCCGACCUCAGGUGAUCCGCCCGCCUCGGCCUCCCAAAGUGCUGGAAUUACAGGCUUGAGCCACCGCGCACGGCUUUGCCCGCAAGCGUUUUGAAUUUUGUGGCCCGGAAUUCACUGCGAGGACUGGGAUCACCCAUCACCCUUCCCUGGUCUACGGAAAAUGAAACGUGUUUACUGAUACAGAAACGGAAUAACGGCACUUUGGGCUGGGGAGGGCCGAGCUGCCUCAGGCUUCUGGUCUCCAGCUGCGCGGCACUCACACCUGCCGCUGUGAAAAUGCAGACCCGCGGGGCAGGAAUUCCGAGUCCAGGCUGGAGCGCGAUCUGGAAUCUGACUCGCUGGAAACAGCACCGCGGUGGAUUCGGACCUGGGGUUGGGGCCUGGAGAGACAGAGGCUGCCACUGAUUCUCUGAAUUCCAGCUUCCCUUGUCAGUCACGCAGCUGAAAGCAGGAAGAAGCUUUCUCUUCUGCACUUGGAACAACAAGGUGAAGAUGACAGAGAGUCCCACAUCUACCAUGGAAAAGGCAAUGGUCCCUAAAUCAUGCCAAGUUUUCUAAUGACAUGUGUUUUCCCGCAACAUGUAACUAUAUGUCCUCCCUUCAAGCACCAGUUAUCACAGUACAAACACAGCAACAGCAUAAAGGAAUGACUACUGAGCCUGAAGCUCUGAUGGAUGCUCUGAGUUGAGACUUUGUUUUAUACUUAGGUACCUGUGAGUCAUUGCAGAGUUUUGCCUGACUCCACCAUGACCCAAUUUGAUCAAGGUCUAUAUGCUAUGAGACCUCUCUAGUUCCUCAUCAGAAAUUAUAAUGAAUACCAUGUCCAGCUCCUGAGGUGCCUGAUGGCAACGAGCGGCAGCUCCUCUUGGGGCAACACUUUGGGGGUGACCAAGGCCUCACAGACCUCACUACUGCUGGGCUACAUGGCCCAAGGCUCCUGGGCGCAAUGGAUCGGUGGUCUUGGAUUCGCCUCGGACAUUUAAUGACAUUUGUUCUUGGGCUUUCACAAGUGGUCUCUGGUUGAGAUGGAAGGAAAGGACGCAGGGACACAAAAUCUCUGACUGCCCAGGGACCCCCUCACCGUCCUCACUUCCACUCAAGACGACAUGGCCGUUCCACUAAAUUCCCGAGGACAUGGCCAACAUGAGUAACAACACAGGGAAGUGCCUUACACAGAGUUCCAUGGAAGCCUGGCUAGUACCCUCUAGACCAUUUACCUACACCUGUUGGGAUCUCUCUAGCAUGAAAUGCUCCAGAGGCAGUCAUGCCAUAAGCUUGGAUCCUCCAGCCAUUGAGUGUGAGGGUCUUAGCCCGGUCUAAAUGAGCACUGAAUUCUAGAGAGACCAAGGGACUGUCUAAGUUCUGAAUUCUGAGUCCUGAAUCCUGGAAGUUGGCUUCUGGCCAGGGAGCAGGUGUUACUGCCUCUGAUCCACAAAAGCAGCCCCACAGCUCAAGUUGCUCUUCUGGAUUUCUCCCCUCUCCUGGUUCCUGGCCAGGCAAAUCUUCACUGCUUUGUUAGCCCAUCCAUUUGCUCAACCAGAUUUUUCAAAUAUGUAUGUUUUCCUCCUUUUCCCAUUGUACUCAGUGGAAGGAAUGGUCUAAAUUACCUAAUCAGCAAUUCCUGGAAACCAAGCCACCAUGUACAUACAAUCUUAUACGUUAAUGUCACAUACAAGAAAGAAAAUGCAGAGGUACCAGUAGUGGCUACCUAAGCAGUGUAAUGUAGAGGUAAUAAAAACGAAUUGUUGGAUAGUAUCUAUCUAUGCCAUGAGUAAAAUACAUAUCAAUAAAUUACAACUUCUAAGAAAAUAAUCUCUAUAUGUAAUAUAUGACUAUGACUCUGAUAGACAAACCUCGGAGUAUUGUCUGAAGACACUUCUCAUCACCUUCACCUCAUGAGCCAGAUGGUGUGAAAUGAGGAGCAGAGAUUUGAAAUGUGUGGCAAGCCUCUCUGCAAAGCAGCAGAGUAACAUUCUACAUGAGCGAAUCAAAGCAAUCUCACAAAUGACAUUGGAUGUGCGGUGUGGGAUGUGUGUCCUUAUUAUAAUGGAGUUAAUCCUUUAAGUAGGUAAUCCUUUUACAUGAACUGGAUUCUAAAUGACUUAUUAGCUAUCAAUUAGCCAGGAAUUUUUCCCUUUACUAAAAGAGAGACCCUGCCAUGAACCAGCAUUUCCCAGGUGGAGGUCUCUGGCAGACAUCAACUUCUAACAGGGUAAAUGUCCUGUUUCUUUAGUCAGGGAAAACUGACUUUCACAAGUGGUCUCUGGUUGAGGGAUCCCAUUUUGAGUGGGGCAUUUGCCAAGUCACUUCUCCCUGUUCCUGCUGGGGCUGGGGAUGAUGAACCGAGUGAAGACACAAACUCUGAGAGGGAACCAGGCAGACAGGCAGACUGACAAGGAGGGCACUGCCUGGUCUAGUUACCAUUCGCACCCAGUCAGAAGAGGUGAAGGGUGAGAGAGGAGGCUGCUGGGAACUGGAAUAUUAGCAGCCAGGAAGGCCAAGAAAGUGCAGGCUGACAGUAUAGGCCAGAGGCUGGAGACCCUGGGAGGGAGCUUUGUUGUUCCCUCUGAGCCCCAGGGUGCAGGAGAGGGUCCUUUUCACCAGGGAGCUUCAGCCUUCAGGAUGAUUUCUGGGCUCUGCACUCCACUGAUCCUCCAUGAGGACUUUAAACAGCAAGAUGAGGUACCCAGGGCCCUAGGAAUCUGAUUCUCAUAUACCCUGAAAUACCUUUACUAAAAAUAUCAUCCCUAUGUUUUGCUUAUUUCUUAUAACAUAUAAAACAUUAAGCCAAACCACUGUACAGAAUUUAUUAAUAUGUAGAUAUGAGGUGUCUGGUGACAGAUCCUCCAAGUUAUUUAUAUCAGAGGAAGAAAGUGGUCUGGCUGCAUUCACAGAUGAGAACAGCAGGGUAGCAACACUCAGGACCAUGACACUGGGUGCUCCCAACCCCGAAGGGAAGCAUCUCACUGUACACAGAUGGCCAGGAGAGUGAUCACAGGGUCCUGUGUUAUCUCCUCCUCCUCCUCUCCUGGGUCCUGGGCUUCACUUCCUAAUCUCAGCUGGUAGCAAAAUUAACUUGGUAUUCAAGACCCUUAUGGCCCCUCUUCACCAUAGCAUCUCAUCAGGUCUCUUUCCUCAUAAGAAUUUCAGCACAGGGGUGUACUCUAGAAAUAUCACCAUGGAAGGGGUGGCAGAGGCAGCUCAUCUCUAACUCCUCAAAUAGAGAGGAUGGAGCCACAGUCCUGUGCCUCACCCAUCCCAUGGUCCUGCCUCAAAUACAGUCUCCUCCUGCAGGCUGCUGGGUCCUCUUUAUUGUCAUUCUCCAGAUGGUGACAGGGUCCCAGGCAGACGUGCUCACAGCUUCCUUGGGGCCUGAUACCAACAGGAGUUGAGGCCAGGGAGCAGCUUUGGGCUGUAGCGAUCUUUGGAUUUGAAGGUAGGGGAUGGUGAUGGGCUGCCCAUAAUGCUCUAGGUGUAAAGGCUGAGAGUGGCUGAGCUGAAUCUGGUCAUUACCAUGUUCUCCACAGUUUGAGAGCUGCCUUGUGCAGACCAGCAAGACACAGAUAGUUCUCAGCCCCCUUAUAUCUCUGUGGACCCUGACUUUUCUUCCCCCAGCUGCUGUCCUCCCAAGCACAGCCCCGGGAGGAUGUAGGGAGAGGGACCCAUUCCCCUGAUGCCCCAGAACCCCUUUCAUGUAAUCCCAAUAUCCAGGCCUGGGGUCCCCUUCUUUGGAUCGACCUUUCUUUUCUUGGAAUGAAAGGGUUACAGGGUCUCCCUCCCAGAUCUCCACUGUGACUCACUCACCCUAAAUAGAUGUCUUGCUCUACAGUUAUCUUCUGCAUAGUGUUUUCUGAAGAUGUGAUAAAAUAUUAUAAGCCAUUAAUAAAACAUGGAAGUUAGGUUCUCUUUUUGGAUUCUGAGGAUCUGCUGUGCUGGGGCAGGGGCAGGUGGGGAGAGAAGGGCAGGUGGAGGGGCAGGAGCUGAGUGGUGUGUGGCCUCGCUCUGUGCCCAGUAAAGCUCCUGCUGUGGUCAUCUCUUGUGUAUUUGUCUGGAUCCCUCCAUGCUGAGCCUUUCUCCAAGUCCAUGGAGGUCACGGGCUGAGAAUGGCCAGUCCCACUCCUGCCUUGAGUUUCACUUUAUUUGGCAUAUUUUUAUAUGUUGAUCUGAUCCUUCUCACAAGGGAUGUUUAUGAGCAUUAUUUCAUAGGAGAGCCACUACCAUCCCGCCG